UUACAUAUUCUUAUAUUUCAGGUCCAACUGAAAUCUUCACAAUGACCAUUCUUGCUGGUCAAAAUCCUGCAAUUAUUGCAAAACUCAACGCCGGUUGAUUAACCGAAAUCCAGAUUCCAAGAAUGUGGAGCUGGUUGUUCUGCCUACUUGCAGCUGCCUCACUAUUCAUGACUUCAUCAAUGGCACAACAACAAAACUCCGAUGAAAUUCCCAGGCUCUGGAAAGGUCGAUGUUCACUUUUGUCCAAAAGAAACAACUCUAAUUAGCCUUGCUGGGCCCAUGUUUCCAGAAACAAGUAAUACUAUUCCAUUAAGCUUGCUUGCUUAGCUAAAAACUUCUUUGAAAUUUCACGGCUUCAAAUCAAAAACUCAAAGUACUGCUCUGUUGUCAUUGAACAACGACUAUCUGUAGUCAAAGUAUUAAA